CUAGUUGGUAAGGUAACGGCUUACCAAGGCAACGAUGCAUAGCCGACCUGAGAGGGUGAUCGGCCACACUGGAACUGAGACACGGUCCAGACUCCUACGGGAGGCAGCAGUAGGGAAUCUUCCGCAAUGGGCGAAAGCCUGACGGAGCAACGCCGCGUGAGUGAUGAAGGUCUUCGGAUCGUAAAACUCUGUUAUUAGGGAAGAACAUAUGUGUAAGUAACUGUGCACAUCUUGACGGUACCUAAUCAGAAAGCCACGGCUAACUACGUGCCAGCAGCCGCGGUAAUACGUAGGUGGCAAGCGUUAUCCGGAAUUAUUGGGCGUAAAGCGCGCGUAGGCGGUUUUUUAAGUCUGAUGUGAAAGCCCACGGCUCAACCGUGGAGGGUCAUUGGAAACUGGAAAACUUGAGUGCAGAAGAGGAAAGUGGAAUUCCAUGUGUAGCGGUGAAAUGCGCAGAGAUAUGGAGGAACACCAGUGGCGAAGGCGACUUUCUGGUCUGUAACUGACGCUGAUGUGCGAAAGCGUGGGGAUCAAACAGGAUUAGAUACCCUGGUAGUCCACGCCGUAAACGAUGAGUGCUAAGUGUUAGG
rnacentral:rRNA from 1 species